rnacentral:rRNA from 1 species
UACGUAGGGUGCAAGCGUUAAUCGGAAUUACUGGGCGUAAAGCGUGCGCAGGCGGUUUUGUAAGCCAGAUGUGAAAUCCCCGGGCUUAACCUGGGAAUGGCAUUUGGGACUGCAAGGCUGGAGUGCGGCAGAGGAGACUGGAAUUCCUGGUGUAGCAGUGAAAUGCGUAGAUAUCAGGAGGAAUACCGAUGGCGAAGGCAGGUCUCUGGGCCGUAACUGACGCUGAGGUGCGAAAGACGUGGGGAGCAAACAGG